rnacentral:lncRNA from 1 species
ACAUGUUUAUGGCAGCCACCGAUCAACCUGAUCGAAGAGAUUUUUUAUUAUAACAUAAAAUAAGAUUUCUCCUAAUGCAGAGAGUGUCAUGAACGAUCAAUAAGAACCUUGAGCAUAGAUCUUGCAAUACAUAUUUAUAAGCAGCAGGUUGCGAACAAUGAACAGCAAUUUAAGGAGGAACCGGAAGUUCUUAUUGCUCAAGUGUGAAGCAUCUGGAUCAAGAAACACACGGUGCAACACGUUGAGUACAAUAGAGUUUGAAACAAAGAUGAUGAAUAGCAUUCAAUAAAGGAAAGUUUUUAAUGCUGAGAAGAAAUAUAUAGUAAAGUGACGGACCUGCUUACUACUAAAACAGAAAUCAUUUGGGUAAAGACGAUGAACUGCAUCACAAUGAGCAUAAACAAUGCUAUCCAGAUGGCACAUAAUAUCCGUCAUUUUUCAAAGAUCCGCAUUCUAACUCUAAUAAAUGUGUUCCUUCAUGAAAAGGGACUGUCACUGAAGCUAGCGGGCUGUGGGCAAUCGGAAGCUGCAAAUCCCAGACCCUACUGAAAGAACCAGCGGCCCCCUUGAUCGCCACUUUUCUAAUUCAGAUCAGUUUCAUCGCCACAUCCGAUAGCUGCUGCUCUUGAUACAUCGUGGACGAUUUCCCCCCUUUUAUCAUCAUUCCUUCAUUCUUACAAGAUCCCUCAAAACCUACGUCAAUACCCGAAAAGCUUUGCCUAAUCUCCAUGUAACAUUUGAAUAGAAAUCGACCAAAGAAGAAAAAAAAAUACAUUGAACAGGAACACAUGUGAAGGCUAUUUUUUUUCUAAUAAAACCUAGAUUACAAAAAGAACAGAAAAAACGAAUCCGCAUGCUAUCUGAUAAAAUAAAUUCAUAUAUAUAUAUUAUUACUAUUUUUCCAGGUAGGGUUUCUCAGGUGCCCCUCUUCUCCACAAUACAGGCAUUCAAAGGCAUGGGGACACACGUCGUUAAUUAUCUGGUGUAGCUUCUGUCGGGAGCGGGGCGGUACCUGUGAUGCAUUCCCUACCGAAGGUCGGAUAGAAGGAUUGGAUUAAAACGUCCGCAAACAGCAGAGAGGCGAAAGGAAGUACCCAGAUCUAUGCGUACUCUGAAAGAUAACAAUGGCAUUAACAGUGCGUGGGGGGGGGGGGGGGGGGGGGAAGAAUGUCACCUUCACACUAACGUCUCCAACCAAGAGGAAGAACUCCUNNNNNNNNNNNNNNNNNNNNGUCACUCAGUCGAAGACAGAUGACGACUGAAGUGGAGAGAGAGAGAGAGAGAGGACCCAAAGUCUGCGUGCCGUCCGUGACAAAGAAGAUGAGUUUUCUCACUUCACCCGUCGACGGGCGAGGGCACAUGAGCUGGCCGCCGUGCGGUGAUGACGGCGCUGGUCCGCCCUAGUUGGGGCCACCGCCAACGGGAGGAACUGCAUCAGCCGCAGCAGAGCGAGAAAGGAAAGAGCAAGCAGCGUUAGCUUUCCGCCGCCGCGUCGCUUGGCCCCACGGCGGAGCAGCGGCGGCGGAUUUCCGCCGGAGAAGGGUUGAUUGGAUUAGGCUUCCCAGCUCCCGCCCCGCUCGCCGCAGAGAGCUGCCGCUCAUGUGGAAAACGAGGCGUCUUGG